UACGUAGGGGGGCAAGCGUUGUCCGGAAUCAUUGGGCGUAAAGCGCGUGUAGGCGGCCCGAUAAGUCCGCUGUGAAAGUCCAGGGCUCAACCCUGGAAUGCCGGUGGAUACUGUCGGGCUCGAGUCCGGAAGAGGCGAGUGGAAUUCCGUGGUGUAGCGGUGAAAUGCGCAGAUAUCAGGAGGAACACCGAUGGCGAAGGCAGCUCGCUGGGACGGUACUGACGCUGAGACGCGAAAGCGUGGGGAGCAAACAGG
rnacentral:rRNA from 1 species